AAUAAGUGCAGCUGUGGAUAUCCGUGCCCAACGUUUAACCGUUCGUCUUAUUUGAAAAAUUUGAAAAUAUUAAUACACACAUAAAGUACUAUUCAUGUUUUAUCAUCUAAUAACAAUAAAAAUAUUAAUCAUAAAAAAAUUUCAAAUAAGACGAACGGUCAAACGUUAAACGUGAAUAAUGUAAAACUGCACUUAUU
rnacentral:pre_miRNA from 1 species